GAUGAACGCUGGCGGCAUGCCUAAUACAUGCAAGUAGAACGCUGAAGGAGGAGCUUGCUCUUUCCGGAUGAGUUGCGAACGGGUGAGUAACGCGUAGGUAACCUGCCUGGUAGCGGGGGAUAACUAUUGGAAACGAUAGCUAAUACCGCAUAACAGUAGAUAUUGCAUGAUAUUUGCUUGAAAGGGGCAAUUGCUCCACUACCAGAUGGACCUGCGUUGUAUUAGCUAGUUGGUGAGGUAACGGCUCACCAAGGCGACGAUACAUAGCCGACCUGAGAGGGUGAUCGGCCACACUGGGACUGAGACACGGCCCAGACUCCUACGGGAGGCAGCAGUAGGGAAUCUUCGGCAAUGGACGGAAGUCUGACCGAGCAACGCCGCGUGAGUGAAGAAGGUUUUCGGAUCGUAAAGCUCUGUUGUAAGAGAAGAACGAGUGUGAGAGUGGAAAGUUCACACUGUGACGGUAUCUUACCAGAAAGGGACGGCUAACUACGUG
rnacentral:rRNA from 1 species